UACGGGAGGCAGCAGUGGGGAAUAUUGCACAAUGGGCGAAAGCCUGAUGCAGCUAUGCCGCGUGUAUGAAGAAGGCCUUAGGGUUGUAAAGUACUUUCAUCGGGGAGGAAAAAACAAAACUAAUAAUUUUAUUUCUUGACGUUACCCGAAAAAGAAGCACCGGCUAACUCCGUGCCAGCAGCCGCGGUAAUACGGAGGGUGCUAGCGUUAAUCAGAAUUACUGGGCGUAAAGAGCACGUAGGUGGUUUUUUUAAGUCAGAUGUGAAAUCCCUGGGCUUAACCUGGAACUGCAUUUUGAAACUGAAAUACUAGAGUAUCGUAGAGGGAGGUAGAAUUCUAGGUGUAGCGGUGAAAUGCGUAGAUAUCUGGAGGAAUACCUGUGGCGAAAGCGGCCUCCUAAACGAAUACUGACACUGGAGGUGCGAAAGCGGUGGGGAGCAAACGAGGAUUAGACUACC
rnacentral:rRNA from 1 species